rnacentral:piRNA from 1 species
GUAGAUGUGUUAGACCAAAUGGG